AGUGGCAAGUUUACUUUGUAAAUUUUUUCAAAUGUAUCUUCUAUUGUCCCGCAUCAAACAGCUUCUUCCUGCCCUCCAUUCCAGACAUGGCCUCCACAUUCUUACGC